ACUCUUUCCCAUCCCCUUCUUCAUCUCACGGUCUAUUACGGCUCAGGGGUCCAGAAACUUGUUCAGGCUGAAUAUUGUUUGGAAUGUCAAAACAAGCAUGCACAUUUUAAUGAUUAAGUUGAUCCCUUUCUACGAGGAUGCCACUCAUCUGGAUAUUUCACCUCAGAGUGUGAGGAAACAGAUCUGGGAGUGUGUGCGCUUCCUAUCUUCAAAGGGAAGAGGAGAGAGAGAAGACGGUCUAAGUGUCAGGAAGAGGGAUGACUGCUCCAGAUGUGCCCUUUGACUCCAUUUCCUGCUCCCCGCCAACGCACUGGAGAGUAUGCUCAGGGAGAUCUCCCUCUUCCUGUGAGGCCAGAGAUGUUUCUAGUUUUAAGGCUGUUGUGGAUGACAUGUCUGGGCAAGCAUGCGGCAAAACCAGAGAGAGACAGAGGAGGAAAGAAAGCAAGCUGGGCAAACUCCAGAGCACCUUCUGCAGGACUUCUCUCAAGCCUGAGGCCAACUUGAACCACAACAGCAAGACACACAGUUUCCAUUUCAACAAUGUAAAUGGUGUCUGUGAGGACCUGGAGGUUUGUCGUCAUUGACACUGUAACCUUCUCAGAAACAACAGGAGAAGGAGGAAGACACUGGCUUCCAAGCACCGAGGGGAGCCACUGCCAACCUGUAGAUCUUGUACCCAACCACACCAUCACUCAUGAAUGAGAGUGAAAGAGAUGAUCAGCUAAAAACUGAAUGCUUACCACUAUCAGCCCCGUGCUGGAAGCACAGAAUAAGGACUGCAGCUCGGGAGAGAAAAGGAUUUAAACUCCAAAGGAAGGAGAUGCAAGACGGUUUGUUUUUCUUCUCCAUCCCACCUCACACGGAACACAGAGAGUGAUGUCCUAUCACUUUGAUCUCUCUCUCUACUCAAAUGGCAGAAACCAACCAGAUAAUGAAGUAAGGCUUGAUGUGGCUUCUGUAUCACUCAUGUGAUAGCGGCAGAACUGAGCCUUGAAUCCCAGUCUGUGAGCUCGCAAACCCCGAAGACUUAUAGUCGCUGAGAGGUGCUAAGCUGCGGAGGCCGGCCUUUGCUGUUUAAUGUCUCGAAUAUCUAGAGCAAGGGUUCUCCGUGAUUCGUUGCUGCUCAGAACAGCCAAACAGACAUGUGUGGGUCAUUCUGAACAUACUUGAAAAUUUCUCGAAUCUUAAGAAAGAUCUGUUUUCCGCACUGCAUUGGCAACACAGUUGGAAAGUUACUUGAAUGUUUUUCAAAAAUUGUUUAUAGAUUUGAAAACUGUUUGGGGUUUGUGAU